UAACAUUAACAACAUCAACUAUAUAUACACAAUAACACAAAAGAAAAUCAACAAAAGUGAACAACAGCAGCAAUUUGAAGAACAGCAGCAACAACAUUAUUACAUGAACAAUAACAUUAGCAAAAUCAACUACAUAUACACAAAGGAAAUCAACAAAAGUGAAGACUCUGCCCCGAAUUUCUUCUUUUUCUCUGUGUGUGUUUCUUGCUUAAAAUGGCGGCCUCAGAGAAAACAGUAUUCUCCAAAUCAUCUUCUGUAUCUUUAUGUAUGAAUUUGUGAAGUUGUUGCACCCAUGGUCAGAGAUGCUUUUGUUUCUGAGGAGGUGGUUCGUAUAGACUGCAAGGUCUCGAGAUGAGUGGCUACAAGUAGAUAGGCUUCAAACUCAGGGUACAAUUGGGAGAAGAAAGCAUGCCCAGAGUGAUGCGUCAGCUUAGGUACAUUGGAGCUUCAGCACAGAUAAGCACUUAGAGUAGAAAUUUGUAGUUUGAAUGUAGAGAAGUCAUUUGGAAGGUAGGUCCAGGAAUGUGACCAUAAUUUUUAGUUUUUUGUGGAGCUGAGAGGUAUCGGCCAUCAUGGCCGGCUGUGAUUUUGCU